AGAGUGAACGCUGGCGGCAGGCCUAACACAUGCAAGUCGAGCGGCAGCGCGGGGGCAACCCUGGCGGCGAGCGGCGGACGGGUGAGGAAUACAUCGGAAUCUGCCUUGUUGUGGGGGAUAACGUAGGGAAACUUACGCUAAUACCGCAUAAGACCUGAGGUGAAAGCGGGGGACCGCAAGGCCUCGCGCGACAAGAUGAGCCGAUGUCCGAUUAGCUAGUUGGUGAGGUAAAGGCUCACCGAAGGCG
rnacentral:rRNA from 1 species